GACGAACGCUGGCGGCGUGCCUAAUACAUGCAAGUAGAACGCUGAAGGAGGAGCUUGCUUCUCUGGAUGAGUUGCGAACGGGUGAGUAACGCGUAGGUAACCUGCCUGGUAGCGGGGGAUAACUAUUGGAAACGAUAGCUAAUACCGCAUAAGAGUAGAUGUUGCAUGACAUUUGCUUAAAAGGUGCAAUUGCAUCACUACCAGAUGGACCUGCGUUGUAUUAGCUAGUUUGUGGGGUAACGGCUCACCAAGGCGACGAUACAUAGCCGACCUGAGAGGGUGAUCGGCCACACUGGGACUGAGACACGGCCCAGACUCCUACGGGAGGCAGCAGUAGGGAAUCUUCGGCAAUGGACGGAAGUCUGACCGAGCAACGCCGCGUGAGUGAAGAAGGUUUUCGGAUCGUAAAGCUCUGUUGUAAGAGAAGAACGAGUGUGAGAGUGGAAAGUUCACACUGUGACGGUAUCUUACCAGAAAGGGACGGCUAACUACGUG
rnacentral:rRNA from 1 species